GUGUAGUCCCCUCCCAUGUCAUAGCAGAGUUGUCCUGGGAGACCAAAUGAACACAGCAGCGGUGAUGGUCUGUCACUUCUGAGACUGGGUCAUGAAAAACAUCAUGGCUUCUGUCUUGCUUGCUCACUCUUGGAUCACUUACCUUGGGGAAAGCUAACUGCCAUGUCACAGGGACAUUUAAACAGUCUAUGGAGAGGUCCACAUGGUGAGAAACUGAGGCCUCCAGCCAACAGCUCUGUCACUGAGUGAUCUUAGCAGCAGUUCCUCCAGCCUCCUCAAGCCUCCAGGUGACUCAGCCCAGCUGAUACCUUGACUGAAUCGUCCUGAAAGACACUGACUCAGACCCACCCAGCAAAACCACUUCUGAAAUGCUGACCCACCAAAACUGAGAAGUUCACAGGACCUCCGACAGAGAGGAACCGCACGUCAGGAGAAUUACCUGCAUUGGGACCUGAUUUAAAUGGUGGCAUUCUGGAUUUUGAGCUAGUGACGUACAGGGGGCCCACUCCAGGGAAAGUCGUGAGCAGUGUUAUAGAGAAGGCCACGUGACACUGAGACCUUCUGCCAAGAACUGUUUGAACGAAACUUAUGGGAGAUGGCUCCUCCAGCCCCGGUCAACCCUUCAGAUGACAGCAGCCCCAGCCAGCGUCCUGUCUGCAAUCUCACGGGAGACCCAGAACCACUCAGCUAAGUCACUCUCAGAACCCAGUCCUCAGAAACCGAGUGAGAAAAUA